UCUCCGUAGGUGAACCUGCGGAGGGAUCAUUACUGAGUGAGGGUUUACCCGCCCGACCUCCAACCCUUUGUGAACCCAUCUUGUUGCUUCGGGGGCGAUCCUGCCGGCACUCUGUCGCCGGGCGCCCCCGGAGGUCUUCCAAACACUGCAUCUUUGCGUCGGAGUUUAAACAAAUUAAACAAAACUUUCAACAACGGAUCUCUUGGUUCUGGCAUCGAUGAAGAACGCAGC
rnacentral:misc_RNA from 1 species